UCAAGCUACAAAGAGCACAAGGGGAAUGCCUUGGCACCGAGAGCCGAAGAAGGACGUGACUAACUGCGAUAAGCUACGGGGAGCUGUAAGUGAGCGUUAUAUCCGUAGAUUUCCGAAUGGAGCAAUCCGAUUAGAGGAAAGUCUAAUCAUCAUAUACUGAAUACAUAGGUAUAUGAGGGGAACCGCCUGAACUGAAACAUCUAAGUAGGGCGAGGAAGAGAAAUCAACUGAGAUUCCGUAAGUAGUGGCGAGCGAACGCGGAAGAGGCCAAACCUAAUGUAGUAAUAUGUUAGGGGUUCGGACAGUAUAAUGAAUUGUCGAAAUUUAGCCGAAUGUCAUGGGAAGGGCAAUCAAAGAUGGUGAAAAUCCAGUAGGCGAAAAGUUAAGACAUCAGACUGUAUCCAGAGUACCGCCGGACACGUGAAACCCGGUGGGAAUACGGGGGGACCAUCCUCCAAGCCUAAAUACUACUCGGUGACCGAUAGAGAAGAAGUACUGUGAAGGAAAGGUGAAAAGCACCCCGGAAGGGGAGUGAAAGAGAACCUGAAACCUUGUGUUUACAAGCACCGAAAGUUCAUCAACGAACGAUCGGGUACCUUUUGUAGAAUGGUCCGGCGAGUGAAUGUAACUGGCAAGGUUAAGCACUUAAGGUGUGAAGCCGUAGCGAGAGCGAGUCUGAAGAGGGCGCAUGAAGUCAGUUGUAUUCGACCCGAAACCGGGUGACCUACCCAUGUCCAGGCUGAAGUGCAGGUAAAACUUCAUGGAGGGCCGAACCGACUCCCGUUGAAAUGGUAGCGGAUGAGGUGUGGGUAGCGGAGAAAUUCCAAUCGAACCCGGAGAUAGCUGGUUCUCUCCGAAAUAGCUUUAGGGCUAGCCUUGGAAUAGAUUACUGGAGGUAAAGCACUGAAUUGGCUAGGGGCCGAGAGGUUACUGAACCUUAUCAAACUAAGAAUGCCAGAUAAUCGUUUUCCAGGAGUCAGACAGUGGGAGAUAAGUUUCAUUGUCAAAAGGGAAACAGCCCAGACCUACAGCUAAGGUCCCAAAGUAUAGUUAAGUGGAAAAGGAUGUGGAAUUGCAUAGACAACCAGGAUGUUGGCUUAGAAGCAGCCACUCAUUAAAAGAGUGCGUAAUAGCUCACUGGUCGAGUGAUUCUGCGCCGAAAAUUUAACGGGGCUAAACUAUACACCGAAGCUUAGGAUACCGCAAGGUAUGGUAGGAGAGCGUUCUGUACGGAGUGAAGUCGUAGCGAAAGCGGCGGUGGACUGUACAGAAGUGAGAAUGCCGGAAUAAGUAGCGAGAAUUAAGUGAGAAUCUUAAUGGCCGAAAGUCUAAGGUUUUUGGAGGAAGGUUCGUCCGCUCCAAGUAAGUCGGGAGCUAAGGUCAGGCCGAAAGGCGUAGCCGAUGCACAAACGGUUGAUAUUCCGUUACCGUCUACAAUUUAAACAAGGGGACACAUACAAAGCGUUUAACCCGGGCGAUGGUUGACCCGGGCGCAAGGGACUGAAAUAAGAGUAGGGAAGUAAAUGUGGCGUAUGGCGAGAAAAGCCUUGUGUAUAGAAGUAGACGCCCGUACCGCAAACCGACACAGGUGGACAGGAAGAGAAUUCUAAGGCCAGCGGGAGAAGGGUAGUUAAGGAACUCGGCAAAUUGACUCCGUAACUUCGGAAUAAGGAGUGCUCGAAAGAGCCGCAGAGAAUAGGCCCAGGCGACUGUUUAGCAAAAACACAGGUCUCUGCCAAAUCGAAAGAUGAAGUAUAGGGGCUGACACCUGCCCGGUGCCGGAAGGUUAAGAGGAGGAGUGCAAGCUCCGAAUUGAAGCCCCGGUAAACGGCGGCCGUAACUAUAACGGUCCUAAGGUAGCGAAAUUCCUUGUCGGGUAAGUUCCGACCCGCACGAAUGG
rnacentral:rRNA from 1 species